rnacentral:rRNA from 1 species
UACGGGGGGAGCAAGCGUUGUUCGGAUUUACUGGGCGUAAAGGGCGCGUAGGCGGUCAGCACAAGUCAGUUGUGAAAUCUCCGGGCUUAACUCGGAAAGGUCAACUGAUACUGUGCGACUAGAGUGCGGAAGGGGCAACUGGAAUUCUCGGUGUAGCGGUGAAAUGCGUAGAUAUCGAGAGGAACACCUGCGGCGAAGGCGGGUUGCUGGGCCGACACUGACGCUGAUGCGCGAAGGCUAGGGGAGCGAACAGG